GCUGUCUCCUAGCGCCGCAUCAACUUGCUGCAUGCAGCAAAAUCUAGUUUAGUUUAGAUCACAGGUAAUGUGCAUAUUGCAAAUUCGCGCGCAAGGUCGCGUGCCGUCGACGCGCCGCUUUUGCGCACCUCUUGCUUUCUUAUCAUAUACGUCCCGUCGUUGUAUACGCAGUUUUGGCAUGCACUAUCGGUGGAUUGCAGCCAGUUUCGUGCCGGUCGCUGGUUAUUUCGGUUGUGUUUUGAGAGACUUAUAUCGUUUAUUCCUGUUAUAUACGAAGAUCAAUCGACUAUUUAUUUGUACUUUGCGACUAUAGUAAUUUGCUUAAUGUUCGGACAUGCCGGUUUUUGAUCGCGUUUGUUAUGUAUAUUACAAGUCACGUGAUAGUGGUGAUAACAUUCUUCACUCGGCGUUGUGUUUGGUGUCAGUUACUAAAUUAAUCGUAUAUAUACCUAUAUAUAUCACCACCAUGUCGAUUCUCAUCACUAAGAAAGAUUCAUCAGGCUCGUUUACAGCACUCGUUGUGCCUGGCAGUCCGAUAAGCUGUACACUGCCGGCGAACGCAAUGUCGUGGAGCCGCCGUUCUUGCACUAAAUUGUACGGUGCCUUGAAUGGGAGUCACUUCUAUCGCUACCUUCGCACAGUGCCCUAAAUGGGAGCCUUAAUGGAUCCUUUGUUGGAUGAAGCAUUGGCUGGCUUAUCCUGAGAUGUCUAAGUUUAUCAAUAAGGAGCAAGUGGAGAGGUUCCGGGGUACUGAGUGCGUAUUGAGGAUGAUGUGUCCUUUACUGAAGAUGGAUGUGUCAACUGGACUAAAAUACCAAGAACUGUCCAAGAAGUUGAAGAUUGGAUUGCCGGUGUUGAUGAUGAUUCCAAAUACGAUUGAAUGAAUUUACAACAUUUUGAAGCUGAUAUUGAUAUAAUUUUUAUGUAUUUUGUUAAAAGAUAUAAAAAGAACAUUAUCUAAUUGCAUAUUAUUAUCCUGUUUUCAUGCUUGUAUUGUUAAAAAUGUUGUAUAAAUUAAGAAAUUGAGUUUGUUAUUCUACAUGUUUGAAUAAAAUUGUUGUUUUAUA